AAAACACGUUGUUUCGUUGUAUACCAUCAUAAAAACACAACCAACAACAAGGUCGGUCCCAUUCCCAUUUUCCAUCUCUCCAAAUUCGUACAAUUUCUCAGUCUCUUUACAAAGAAGGAUGUUAAAGCUAAACGCAGAAUAACCUCGCCGUUUUGCUCUGACACAAUAAAAAGAGAUAAACGACGAAUCAAAACGCGUCUUUCAAUAUCAAAAUUCAAAACAAAAGAAGAAUCAACAACUGUUCACUUAUCAGUGACUCAUUUCUACUCUCACUCACUUCUUUCUUUUCACAUUUGGAUCUGA